rnacentral:rRNA from 1 species
AUCGGAGAUGAUAUAGUCCGAACUCUAUGGCGACAUAGAGAGUUCUCCGACAACGGUCGGAGAGAAUAACACACAUGAAUCGUUCUAAGGUAGCGCAAUUCCUUUUCGGGUAAGUUCCGAAGCGCACGAAAGGCGUAACGACUGGAGAACUGUCUCAACGAUGAGCUCGGUGAAAAUGCGAUUCCCGUGAAGACGCGGGAUACCUGCAGCGGGACGAAAAGACCCCGGAAGCUUUACUGCAGCUUGGUAUUGAUUUUAGAGUUUUACUACGUAGCGUAGUGGUGAGGAUUUGAAGCGCCGAUCUCGGUUGGCGUGGAUCCGACAAUGAAACAGCCAUUUUUAAAACUUUAACGUCUAACUACGCGAAAACCUUACAAUGGAAAUUCGCGUAAGACAGUGCUUGGUAGGCAGUUUAAAUGGGGCGUUUUCCUUCGAAAGACACGCGUAGUCCAUUAUCCGUUAGGACUACAAAAAAGGGGGACUUAUUGCAGUAAUGCAAUUUGAAAAACUAUCUAUAUGCUGGGACACCCCGACUUCGGUCGGGACAAUCAGCAGGAAACCAAAAUUCCGCAAUUGCGGAAUGAGUAGGAUCCUCAGAGACUACACGAUGGCUUCCGAUUAAAAUUCGGAAGAUGAUAUAGUCCGAACUCCGUGGCGACACGGAGAGCACGGCAGAAAUGUCCGUGCCACGCAUGAACAUCUCGAAUUCGUAUAUUCGUACAAAAUUCGUAUUUCGUAGAUGAUUUUUUGCGAAGCAACAAAAUGCCUAAAGAGUAACGGAGGAGUUUAUUAAGGUCGGCUUAGCCCGGAUGGAAACCGGGCAGGACGUGUAAACGCAUAAGCCGGCUUCACUGCGAGACAUACAAGUCGAGCAGGCGCGAAAGCGGAAGUUAGUGACCCGACCACACAUUAUAGAAUGGUGGGAGACAUCGGAUAAAAGCUACUCCGGGGAUAGACCUGGUUUCUGGCAACUGGUUUCUGGUUGCUGGCAACGAAAGGUUGUUGUC